GGUUAAGCGACUAAGCGUACACGGUGGAUGCCCUGGCAGUCAGAGGCGAUGAAGGACGUGCUAAUCUGCGAUAAGCGUCGGUAAGGUGAUAUGAACCGUUAUAACCGGCGAUUUCCGAAUGGGGAAACCCAGUGUGAUUCGUCACACUAUCAUUAACUGAAUCCAUAGGUUAAUGAGGCGAACCGGGGGAACUGAAACAUCUAAGUACCCCGAGGAAAAGAAAUCAACCGAGAUUCCCCCAGUAGCGGCGAGCGAACGGGGAGCAGCCCAGAGCCUGAAUCAGUGUGUGUGUUAGUGGAAGCGUCUGGAAAGGCGCGCGAUACAGGGUGACAGCCCCGUACACAAAAAUGCACAUGCUGUGAGCUCGAUGAGUAGGGCGGGACACGUGGUAUCCUGUCUGAAUAUGGGGGGACCAUCCUCCAAGGCUAAAUACUCCUGACUGACCGAUAGUGAACCAGUACCGUGAGGGAAAGGCGAAAAGAACCCCGGCGAGGGGAGUGAAAAAGAACCUGAAACCGUGUACGUACAAGCAGUGGGAGCACGCUUAGGCGUGUGACUGCGUACCUUUUGUAUAAUGGGUCAGCGACUUAUAUUCUGUAGCAAGGUUAACCGAAUAGGGGAGCCGAAGGGAAACCGAGUCUUAACUGGGCGUUAAGUUGCAGGGUAUAGACCCGAAACCCGGUGAUCUAGCCAUGGGCAGGUUGAAGGUUGGGUAACACUAACUGGAGGACCGAACCGACUAAUGUUGAAAAAUUAGCGGAUGACUUGUGGCUGGGGGUGAAAGGCCAAUCAAACCGGGAGAUAGCUGGUUCUCCCCGAAAGCUAUUUAGGUAGCGCCUCGUGAAUUCAUCUCCGGGGGUAGAGCACUGUUUCGGCAAGGGGGUCAUCCCGACUUACCAACCCGAUGCAAACUGCGAAUACCGGAGAAUGUUAUCACGGGAGACACACGGCGGGUGCUAACGUCCGUCGUGAAGAGGGAAACAACCCAGACCGCCAGCUAAGGUCCCAAAGUCAUGGUUAAGUGGGAAACGAUGUGGGAAGGCCCAGACAGCCAGGAUGUUGGCUUAGAAGCAGCCAUCAUUUAAAGAAAGCGUAAUAGCUCACUGGUCGAGUCGGCCUGCGCGGAAGAUGUAACGGGGCUAAACCAUGCACCGAAGCUGCGGCAGCGACGCUGAUGCGUUGUUGGGUAGGGGAGCGUUCUGUAAGCCUGCGAAGGUGUGCUGUGAGGCAUGCUGGAGGUAUCAGAAGUGCGAAUGCUGACAUAAGUAACGAUAAAGCGGGUGAAAAGCCCGCUCGCCGGAAGACCAAGGGUUCCUGUCCAACGUUAAUCGGGGCAGG
rnacentral:rRNA from 1 species